rnacentral:rRNA from 1 species
GACAGAGGGUGCAAACGUUGUUCGGAAUUACUGGGCGUAAAGCGCGUGUAGGCAGCUCGGAAAGUCGGGUGUGAAAGCCCUGGGCUUAACCUAGGAAGUGCACUCGAAACUUCCGAGCUUGAGUUCUGGAGAGGAAGGCGGAAUUCUCGGUGUAGAGGUGAAAUUCGUAGAUAUCGUAAGGAAGACCAGUGGCGAAGGCGGGUCUCUGGACAGUUCCUGACGCUGAGGCACGAAGGUCAGGGGAGCAAACGGG